rnacentral:rRNA from 1 species
UAGAUACCCUGGUAGUCCACACGGUAAACGAUGAAUACUCGCUGUUUGCGAUAUACUGCAAGCGGCCAAGCGAAAGCGUUAAGUAUUCCACCUGGGGAGUACGCCGGCAACGGUGAAACUCAAAGGAAUUGACGGGGGCCCGCACAAGCGGAGGAACAUGUGGUUUAAUUCGAUGAUACGCGAGGAACCUUACCCGGGCUUAAAUUGCAGAUGAAUUACGGUGAAAGCCGUAAGCCGCAAGGCAUCUGUGAAGGUGCUGCAUGGUUGUCGUCAGCUCGUGCCGUGAGGUGUCGGCUUAAGUGCCAUAACGAGCGCAACCCUUGUUGUCAGUUACUAACAGGUUCCGCUGAGGACUCUGACAAGACUGCCAUCGUAAGAUGUGAGGAAGGUGGGGAUGACGUCAAAUCAGCACGGCCCUUACGUCCGGGGCUACACACGUGUUACAAUGGGGGGUACAGAGGGCCGCUACCACGCGAGUGGAUGCCAAUCCCCAAAACCUCUCUCAGUUCGGACUGGAGUCUGCAACCCGACUCCACGAAGCUGGAUUCGCUAGUAAUCGCGCAUCAGCCACGGCGCGGUGAAUACGUUCCCGGGCCUUGUACACACCGCCCGUCAAGCCAUGGGAGCCGGGGGUACCUGAAGUGCGUAAAGGGGAGGAGCGCCCUAGGGUAAAACUGGUGA